CUAGGACGAAGUGACUGACACCACGCUUCCAGGAAAAGCCACUAAGCUUCAGCUUAAGAAAAACCGUACCGCGAACCGACACAGGUAGGCAGGGUGAGAGUCCCAAGGCGCUUGAGAGAACUCGGGUGAAGGAACUAGGCAAAAUGGCACCGUAACUUCGGGAGAAGGUGCGCCCUUUGGUGUGGUCACGUGCGUGACUGAGCAUUGAAGGGUCGCAGUAACCUGGCCGUUGCGACUGUUUAUCAAAAACACAGCACUCUGCAAACACGAAAGUGGACGUAUAGGGUGUGACGCCUGCCCGGUGCUGGAAGGUUAAUUGAUGGGGUCAGCCGCAAGGCGAAGCUCUUGAUCGAAGCCCCAGUAAACGGCGGCCGUAACUAUAACGGUCCUAAGGUAGCGAAAUUCCUUGUCGGGUAAGUUCCGACCUGCACGAAUGGCGUAACGACAGCGGCGCUGUCUCCACUCGAGACUCAGUGAAAUUGAAAUCGCUGUGAAGAUGCAGCGUUCCCGCGGCAAGACGGAAAGACCCCGUGAACCUUUACUAUAGCUUUACACUGAACGUUGAGUUCUUCUGUGUAGGAUAGGUGGGAGGCUAUGAAACCAGGACGCUAGUUCUGGUGGAGCCAUCCUUGAAAUACCACCCUGAAGUGCUUGACGUUCUAACCUAGGCCCGUAAUCCGGGUCAGGGACCGUGUAUGGUGGGUAGUUUGACUGGGGCGGUCUCCUCCCAAAGAGUAACGGAGGAGCACGAAGGUACGCUCAGCGCGGUCGGACAUCGCGCACUGUGUGCAAAGGCAUAAGCGUGCUUGACUGCGAGAUCGACGGAUCAAGCAGGUACGAAAGUAGGUCUUAGUGAUCCGGUGGUUCUGUAUGGAAGGGCCAUCGCUCAACGGAUAAAAGGUACUCCGGGGAUAACAGGCUGAUACCGCCCAAGAGUUCAUAUCGACGGCGGUGUUUGGCACCUCGAUGUCGGCUCAUCACAUCCUGGGGCUGUAGCCGGUCCCAAGGGUAUGGCUGUUCGCCAUUUAAAGUGGUACGCGAGCUGGGUUCAGAACGUCGUGAGACAGUUCGGUCCCUAUCUGUCGUGGGCGUUGGAGAUUUGAGGGGGGCUGCUCCUAGUACGAGAGGACCGGAGUGGACGUUCCGCUGGUGUUCGGGUUGUCAUGCCCAUGGCAUUGCCCGGUAGCUACGAACGGAAGUGAUAACCGCUGAAAGCAUCUAAGCGGGAAGCACGCCCCAAGAUGAGAUCUCCCGAGAGCUUGACUCUCCUAAAGGCACCAUCAAGACUAGGUGGUUGAUAGGUCAGGUGUGGAAGCGCAGCAAUGCGUUGAGCUAACUGAUACUAAUGAGCCGUGAGGCUUGACCAG
rnacentral:rRNA from 1 species